AGAGUUUGAUCCUGGCUCAGGACGAACGCUGGCGGCGCGCCUAACACAUGCAAGUCGAACGAGCGAGAGAGAGCUUGCUUUCUCGAGCGAGUGGCGAACGGGUGAGUAACGCGUGAGGAACCUGCCUCAAAGAGGGGGACAACAGUUGGAAACGACUGCUAAUACCGCAUAAGCCCACGGGUCGGCAUCGACCAGAGGGAAAAGGAGCAAUCCGCUUUGAGAUGGCCUCGCGUCCGAUUAGCUAGUUGGUGAGGUAACGGCCCACCAAGGCGACGAUCGGUAGCCGGACUGAGAGGUUGAACGGCCACAUUGGGACUGAGACACGGCCCAGACUCCUACGGGAGGCAGCAGUGGGGAAUAUUGCACAAUGGGGGAAACCCUGAUGCAGCGACGCCGCGUGGAGGAAGAAGGUCUUCGGAUUGUAAACUCCUGUUGUUGGGGAAGAUAAUGACGGUACCCAACAAGGAAGUGACGGCUAACUACGUGCCAGCAGCCGCGGUAAAACGUAGGUCACAAGCGUUGUCCGGAAUUACUGGGUGUAAAGGGAGCGCAGGCGGGAAGACAAGUUGGAAGUGAAAUCUAUGGGCUCAACCCAUAAACUGCUUUCAAAACUGUUUUUCUUGAGUAGUGCAGAGGUAGGCGGAAUUCCCGGUGUAGCGGUGGAAUGCGUAGAUAUCGGGAGGAACACCAGUGGCGAAGGCGGCCUACUGGGCACCAACUGACGCUGAGGCUCGAAAGUGUGGGUAGCAAACAGGAUUAGAUACCCUGGUAGUCCACACCGUAAACGAUGAUUACUAGGUGUUGGAGGAUUGACCCCUUCAGUGCCGCAGUUAACACAAUAAGUAAUCCACCUGGGGAGUACGACCGCAAGGUUGAAACUCAAAGGAAUUGACGGGGGCCCGCACAAGCAGUGGAGUAUGUGGUUUAAUUCGACGCAACGCGAAGAACCUUACCAAGUCUUGACAUCCCUUGACAGACAUAGAAAUAUGUUUUCUCUUCGGAGCAAGGAGACAGGUGGUGCAUGGUUGUCGUCAGCUCGUGUCGUGAGAUGUUGGGUUAAGUCCCGCAACGAGCGCAACCCUUAUGGUCAGUUACUACGCAAGAGGACUCUGGCCAGACUGCCGUUGACAAAACGGAGGAAGGUGGGGAUGACGUCAAAUCAUCAUGCCCUUUAUGACUUGGGCUACACACGUACUACAAUGGCGUUAAACAAAGAGAAGCAAGACCGCGAGGUGGAGCAAAACUCAGAAACAACGUCCCAGUUCGGACUGCAGGCUGCAACUCGCCUGCACGAAGUCGGAAUUGCUAGUAAUCGUGGAUCAGCAUGCCACGGUGAAUACGUUCCCGGGCCUUGCACACACCGCCCGUCA
rnacentral:rRNA from 1 species